rnacentral:rRNA from 1 species
UACGGGGGGAGCAAGCGUUGUUCGGAUUUACUGGGCGUAAAGCGCGCGUAGGCGGCUCGAUCAGUCUGCUGUAAAAGUCAAAGGCUCAACCUUUGAAUGCCGGUGGAUACUGUCGGGCUAGAGUCCGGAAGAGGCGAGUGGAAUUCCUGGUGUAGCGGUGGAAUGCGCAGAUAUCAGGAGGAACACCAACGGCGAAGGCAGCUCGCUGGGACGGUACUGACGCUAAGGCGCGAAAGCGUGGGGAGCGAACAGG